CCUACGGGAGGCAGCAGUGAGGAAUAUUGGUCAAUGGUCGGGAGACUGAACCAGCCAAGCCGCGUGAGGGAGGAAGGUACAGAGUAUUGUAAACCUCUUUUGUAAGGGAACAAAGACUGGGACGCGUCCCCGGAUGAGUGUACCUGAAGAAAAAGCAUCGGCUAACUCCGUGCCAGCAGCCGCGGUAAUACGGCGGGGGCAAGCGUUAUCCGGAAUUACUGGGUGUAAAGGGCGCGUAGACGGCUGUGCAAGUCUGGCGUGAAAGGCGGGGGCCCAACCCCCGGACUGCUCUGGAAACGGUAUGGCUGGAGUGCAGGAGAGGUAAGCGGAAUGCGUAGUGUAGCGGUGAAAUGCGUAGAUAUUAGGAGGAACACCAGUGGCGAAGGCGGCUUACUGGACUGUAACUGACGUUGAGGCUCGAAAGCGUGGGGAGCAAACAGGAUUAGAUACCCCAGUAGUC
rnacentral:rRNA from 1 species